rnacentral:pre_miRNA from 1 species
AGUAAAUAAAUCUGUCACUUUUUACUUACAAUGACUUUUCGUCUUAUUUAAUUUUUUUUGCGAUUAACAUUUUUAUUUUUAUUAGAUGAUAAAUCAUGAAUAAUAUUUUAAGCGUGACUAUUUUUUUAAUUUCUUAAAAAAAAUUUAAAUAAAACGGAUGGUCAACCGCUGUAAAGGGAAACUGAAAGUUUGUCUUAUC